CUUUGUCGUACGAGGAUUUGCUUGCUUUUCUCUCCUCCUUCAUCUCUCGAGGAGCCGGGCAGCUGUCCUCUGAGGCACACACAUUGCAAUGUUCUUUGAGCCGAGAGGCGCACAUAGCAGCCAUCCUUCGCGUUUGCCACCCGCUGGGCUCCAAGCUCCUUGAUUCCGAACCCACCCUCCUUUCCCUGUGAGCUUAGAGAGGGAGGUUCUUUUCGCUCCACCUCUCUAGGAGCCCACACUAGCUUCUUCCCCGCCUCUUCCUUCGCCCCUCUCUAUACUCCCAAGAGCCUGCCAAGCCGCUGCCCCGCGCCCGGAGCUCCCUGUGGCGCUCGGGGCAGCGCAGGGCUCCGGGUGCGGGUGAAGAAAUUAGAGGGACGACCGCAGCCCUCCUGGGGAGACCAGAAGAGCGGGGCGUCGCACUGACCUGCAUUCCCCAGUUUGCUGGAGAGAAGCGGUGUCGGUGAGGUUGUGCUCUCUGCCUGCUAUUCCGCUGGUUGCCCUGGGGUGCAGCUGUUGGGUCACCUUGUUCCCGAUAGGAAAAUGGGAGCCAUUAGGCAAAUGUGACCUGCAUUUUCAAGAUACCAGCAUAUAAUACUGCAGGGGAAGCAAAAACAAUAUGGAUGGCUUAAUUGAACAGAAUAGUGUAUUAAUGCACAGUAAAAUCAGUGAAGCUGGAAAAAGAAACGGCUUAAUUAACACCAGAAACUUAAUGGCAGAAAAUAGAGAUGGCCUGGUAUCUGUUUACCCAACACCCCAGUAUCAGAGUCACAUAGUGGGGAAUAUCUCAUCUCAGAGCUGCCUAGACAACAGCAGAAAUGAUCCAGUGCAGCAGUUACUGGAUCCCAAUACACUUCAACAGACUGUGGAGUCUCACUAUCGCCCCAAUAUCAUCCUGUACUCAGAGAAUGUGCUGCGUUCCUGGGGGGAGAGUGGCAGCUCAGACUGCUGUGAGACCACCUUUAUUGAAGACCGCUCACCUACCAAAGAUAGUCUGGAGUAUCCUGAUGGUAAAUUCAUCGACCUUUCCUCAGAUGACAUCAAAAUCCAUACUCUCUCCUAUGAUGUGGAAGAAGAAGAGGAAUUCCAGGAACUGGAGAGUGACUAUUCAAGUGAUACAGAGAGUGAGGACAACUUCCUGAUGAUGCCGCCAAGGGAUCACUUGGGUCUCAGUGUUUUCUCCAUGCUCUGUUGCUUCUGGCCCCUGGGAAUUGCUGCCUUUUAUUUGUCUCAUGAGACUAACAAAGCUGUGGCCAAGGGUGACUUCCACCAAGCCAGCACCAGUUCCCGACGGGCACUCUUCUUGGCUGUGCUCUCCAUCACCAUUGGAACUGGUCUCUACGUGGGAGUGGCUGUGGCACUGAUUGCCUAUCUCUCCAAAAACAAUCACUUAUGAGUCCCUGGCAAAGGAAAUAAGAAGGAGGAACUCAGUGGAUGAAGAGAAACCAGAGCUGAGUUGAUGGAGAGAAGAUGAUCCCUGGUAUGGGGGACCAGGAAGACAAACCCAUGUGAUAUUACUCAUUAUAAAUCACAAAACAACUCCAAGAAGCCCAGAAUUUUUCUGUCUGUAUCUUAUUUUUUUUAUUUUUGGUCUUUUAAAGGCCUUUUGCACCAUUGUGCUGAGCAGAACUGAAUACUUUUAGAAAGAAGACUCCAGCAGAGAUCCCAAACUGUGAGGCACCUCUGGUUUGUUUCUGACUGGUUAAUUAAUACUGUGUCUACAUGGCACUCAAAAGAAAUACUGCUAUCAGUGCUAGCAAUGAGCAAACAGAAUAAUGGCUUUAUUUUGUGGACUAUAGGGCUCCAAAGACAGAGAGUGCAAGGGAUAUAUCAUGAUUUCAUAUUGGCACUGCUUGAUCCCUCUUGCAUACCUUUGAUACUCCCCCAGAAAAAAAUGAAAGACAAAAAAACUAUCUCCCUGUCUUUGUAAGCUGGGGGUGAGGGGCUAACCAGUUCCCAGAUCCCGUCCUCAGCUGACAUUACCCCAUAAGCCAGCCCAGCCCCAGAAUGCAGGGCCAGAAUAGCAUGGAAUAUGUCUUCAUCUCCACCAAUGCUUCUUCUCCAUGGUGACUACAAAAUGAGGCUAUAAUGGGCCUUCUCUCAGUUUUUAAGUUAAAGAGAGACCAGGUGCUUCUGUAAAAAAAAAAAACAAAAAAAAAAAAAAAAAGGAGAAUGUCAAAGAAAGGGCUGAACCUAAAUAAGAAAGAGAAGCAAAGUAUCCCUCCUAUGGACUCUCUUCCCUGUGCACAGCUGAGCCGAACACGAGCACUGUAACCUCAUGGCAACAGAGCUUACCAACCCCAAGACUGGAGACUCAGCCUCAGAAUGAAGAAAUAUAGGGACAUUUUUUUUUUUGCUUUGUUGUCACUCACCUCAAUGAUAAGCAAUGUACCUAGCUAUCUUGUGAAGGAGUUGAACGCUAUCCUUUACUUUCUUGACUAAAUGAAUAGCUUAUUUUCUCUUCAUAUUUUUUUUAAAGUAGCAAUCAUUGCUUCGUGUUACUCAGUUUAUCAGAUGAAUGCUGAGAAAGUAAUAAUCACAGCCAUUUUAAUACUGUUUCAUGUCUAUUUUCCCAGUGCUAUUUAUUUAACAAAAAAUAUCUUUUAGGAUCAAUUCUUUGGUCUUUUCUUUGGGGUUUGUUUCAAGCAAUUGGCUUUCAUUCUUAAGGAAAAAAAAAACUUUAAAAUAUCACUAACCUUCUUCUACUGGAAGCAAAUCUCUGUUAAGACCAUAAUCCCAACUUUCUUAACUUUAUUCAUUAGCAUAAAGAUCAUCAACCUGACCUUAAUGACCUCCAAAAGCACAUGAAUGCUGUCUUUGUGGAAGGAAGCAACAUUCCCCAAAAACUUUGACUUAUUGCUCAUUCAUUCUAGGUUCCUUAAAUAUCAGUAAUCUCAUACUUGAACAUCUCAAGGUUAUGGAGAGAGAACAAGUGAUAUAGUGGAUAAAAGGAUGAUUUUGGAUUCAAGAAGACCUGAAUUUAGCUCCUACCUUGGAGACAUACUAGCUAUGUGCCCUUUGAUAAACCACUUAACCCCUCAGUGCUAUAGAGACAACUCAUUAAGACUCUGAGUUGUCAAUUUACAUCAGUCAAGGCAGAUUUUAUACCCUGAGUUCAUCAUAUUGAUUAAAUCUCAAAUUUAGUUAAUAAUAUACACAUAUGUAUUUUAUACAUAUAAAUACACAUAUGCAUAUAUAUAAAGGAAAUAUAUACAUUGUAUAUUUGUAUAUGUAUAUAUGUGUGUGUGUUUGAAAGGCUAUGGUCCAAUCAAUUCAAUAGCCUAGCUGUCCACACUGGAGUCAAUGUUAAAAGGUUUGAGGCAGCAAGGUGAUACAAUGACUAGAGUGCCAGACCUAGAAUAAGAAGGACCUGAGUUCAAAUAUAGUCUCAGAUACAAGCAACUAUAGGCAAGUCAUUUGAGCUUGAUUUCCUCAGAAAACAAAAAAAGAUGGGGUGAACUUAGCUUGAUUUUUAUGCUGAUAUAAUGAUCGAUUUAAUAUCCACAGUAUGUUCCCUUAUUCAUAGUAAAUUAGCCUUAAUUCACCUGGUUUUCAUGCAUAAUGUUUUAAUGGACUCAGAUCCUCUUCACUUUCAACUUUCAUCUUACCCUAAUUUAGCUGCUUUCCCUGAUCUCACAGGUGAUUUUUGAUCACCCUUUUCUAGAUUUUAUACAACUCUGUGUAUUUUUGUUUGAGAUAUGAUAAUAAGAACUGAGUAAGUUGGGUAUGAAUACAUCAUCAUUUUACCAAAAUCAAAAUCUGUCUGAAGAAAAUUAGAAGGAAUUCUUGUGUCCCAAUGGUUCAAACAGCUUCUAAGGGCUAAUCCAUUCUAUUAAAUUCAGUAGAUAAUUGCAAAACACCCACAAUGUGCACAGUAUCAUGUUAGUCACUAGAAUACAGAUUCAUAUACACAAAAAUAUUCCUGCCCACCAGCAACUUACAUUUUACUGGGCGAAAAAACAAUAUUCACAUGUAUUAUUGAUGCUGUUGGAGUGGUCUAGAUUAGUGGCUAUAAGAGAGUUGUUAAGAAUCCCCUUUAAAUCAGCUGCAGGUUUUAGGAAUGAAAGACUUCACUCAUUCCCAAAUUAUUAGUUGCAAAAUGAAAUUUUAUUGUUGGAUAGAAAUCAGUUUACCAAGAGAUUGACUUCUAUAGUGGCAGAUCUAUGGAAAAUGGAGUUUUGAGCUGAGAAUGCAGUUCUCAGUGGACAGAAAGUCCUGGCAGCAAAGGGAGCUACCAAGGUCCAUCUGAAAGGAUUUAAUUGAUGGAAGGUAUUAUAUUGAGUGUCUUGGUGGGGGCUGGGACAGCCCAAGCAAAACAGGUCAGACCCGGUGGAGUCCCAAGUUGGCUCAUCUACAAGCUAGGUUUCAGCUUGAGCUGGAAAUUGAAUUGAAUGAGUCUUUAAUUGAAUAGAGUUGGAAUUAUUUUCCUAAGGACUAGAACCAACCCCACCUAGAUAACAAAAUGAAACUGUUUGUCGUGUUUCCCUCGGACAGGGUCCCUCAUUGAGGCAGAGUUGAAGGAGAUUUUCUCCUUCAAGAAUUUUUAGAGUUUCGGAGUCCCUUCUUCAUUAUGAGUAAUACAAAAGAGAGUAAAAAGACUGAUUAACUAACUACCUUUUACUACCAGCAGUGAGAGAUUAGACUUAAGUCACUUCUAAGAUCCUCCUCUUUCCCAAUUCUAAGAUUAUAGUUAUAUAAUUAUUAUUAUACUUUGGGUCGCUCUUAAAUCAAUCUGCAAAAUUGAAAGGGAUGUGAAUGACAUUAAAGGAUGUUUUUAUGGAGAUAAAGAAACAUCCAGAAAGUUGAGAGGAAACAGUAAAAGGAAAUCAAAUGCCUGCUAAUUAGAUGCAAAAGCAGAGACAUUUUACUAUAUACUUUAUAAAAAUGUCUCCUCACAUUAAAAAAUUUCUGUAUUAAUAAAUUUUCCAGGAUAAAUGAAUGAAGAUUAAUCUAAUACAUAUGACACAUAUUCUUGAUCUUCUAGAUCCUCCUAUGCUAUAAUAUUUUAUUCUGAAGAUUUCUUUCUCUUUUUUUGUUUCUUUAAACCUAGAAAAAGUAUUUACAUUUGGAUAUACAUAGUCACCCUGUGACUUAGUGCAGAAGAAAGAACUUAGCUCAAUGAAAUUUUAGGAACAUAGGUUCCUAAAGUCAGUUCCUAAAGUCAAAGAACCUGAGACCUGUGUUCAAUACCAGUUAUAGCUACUAGUUACCUGAGUGACCUUGGAUAACCACUUUUCUUUGUAUUUGCAUGUAAAAUGAAAACAUUAAAUUAGAUCCUCCCUUACGGAGCUCACAGAAUACAAUCAUUAAUUCUCUUUAUGGAUCCCUUAAGGAUCCUUGCAUUAGAACCUUUUAAAAAGUGUUUGAACUACACACAGCUCUUUGAAUAUAGGUUUCCAUUGGGAUGCACAUCUGCUAAAACACCUUUGAUCUACAAAAUAUCUUGGUUAUGACUUUGCAAAGUAUGAUAACUCAUUUGCUCAUCCAUGAAACACAUUUGAUGGGUGAUGGGUUAGGAAGAAGAAUAAGAUUCUUUAUAUUUCUUUUUCUUCUUUUUCUUGUUGUUAUUUGUUUGCUCUUUACCUGGUCUUGGAGUCUUUUCCAAGAAUCAAAGUUCCCACAGAAAAUGUUCUAAUGUUUUUCUUUAUUUGCUACAUAAAGAUCUGGAUACAAUACAACAAAGAGGCAUCUAGUCUUCAGUAAGGUCCUUCACUCCAGAUAAACAGACCAGUAUCCAAUGGCACUUUCCUCCAAGUGCCAGGGCUACUUGUUUGUAUUCAUUAGUAUUCAAAAAUGAUAGAAAAACUAUGUGAAUAGAAAAUAUCCUAUGGAUGAUUCUUCAUCUAUUUUCUUUUCAAAAAGAAAAUCAACUACUUUAGAGGUGAAAAAAAGAGCAUUCUCAUGAAACACUUGAUAAACAUUUCCACUUUCUUGUUAGCCAAUGUAUAGUUCCUAAUACAAGGUUGGCCUUGGCGGACCCAUGGAAAAUGAUGAUUGGUGUAAACAUGGAGUUGCCAAUAAAUACAGGGAUUCACUUUGCACUAAGGGCAAGAGUCCACACAAACAUGUAGUGAAUACUGCUAAAGAGAAUCCAGCUUUUACAGAAGAGAGGAGAGAGUCCUAGGAAAAUUUGGACAACCAAUCAAUCAAAACACAGCAACAAUUAAGUUCCUCCUUGCAUCAGUACAUUAGCCCAUCAAUCUCAUUCACAUGCAUCUUUGAAUUUUAAGUGACUCAUUUAAGAAGCCUGCCAAUUUGCCAGUAUCAGUUACCAUUCAUUGCUCACUCAUCCCUCUAGAGGUUACAGACUGAUCUUUGGGAAAAGCUUAUAAUGAAGAAGCCAUGCUUGUGCCUGCCCUUCUUGGCUUGCAAUCACUGACAGGCUGAAAUAUGAAUGGCCAAAAUGUCUAUUUCUCAGAGACGAUGGUGGCAAAUGACACCUACAACUGAAGACUGAGCAGUAAUUGCGAAUUUAUGGCGGGUUAUUGUGACCUUUUUUCCUAUCAUUUACUAGUGCCUCUUUUUUUUUUUUUAAGCACCAAAGUCAUUUCUUGACAAUUCUCCCAUCUCUCCAAUAGUGGAAUAGGAAAUGGGGAUGGGCAUGAGAGUUGUGGAUGCUGAGAUAAGGGGCAAGAGGGAAAAAGAACUCCUCCUUAUACUAAAAAGGCAAAAAAACAGUUAUUCAAAACCAAUUGGCACAAGACCUCAUUUAUCAGAGUAAAUCAUGAAUAUAAUGACCAAAAGUUAUUACCUGAAAUUAUUAACAUAAAUAGGUUCUCCCAGAUGUGAAAAAAUCCUUAACCAUCAUAGAGCCCCAAACCCCCAUUAUAGAGACAUGGAAGUUAAAUCCCAGAGUGCAAUUAUUAUGAAAUAAUUUGCCCAAGUCACACAAGAUAGCAACAAAAUUCAAAUUUGAAUUCAGCUAUUGUGAUUCCGAAUUAGAUAUUCUUACUACCUCCACAAAAGCUGGCCAUGUGAGAUAGAAUACAUAUGGGACAAAGGAGAAUUCCACAGCACUCAAAGACAAUUUAGAAAUGGAGCAAAUACCUUUACCUGUGCAAGUUUGGGAGGAGAGGAUAAUUCAGGGAAGGCUUCCUGAAGGAGAUUAACACAAGUGAUCUAUAUUAGUUCUGUCCUAAAAAUUGCAUGUCAUAUUUAAACUAUAACCACUAAUGCUCUAUUGAGAAACAAGCAACCUGAGUGACACCAUGAUUGGUAUGGGUUUACUCUUAUCAACCCCAUAUUCAUUCAUUCCCCUUUCUUAACAGCCUCUCUGAGUCCUGAAGUCCCUACCUCUCAAAAUAGUGGAAGAACACAAAUGAUUUCUUGCCCUUUCACCUCAAGCAGAGUUAGCAUGAGAUAUAACCCCAGACUUGCUACUAACCAGCUAUCUAUAUUUCUAUCUAUUCAUGACAAUGACCAUGAGAAAAACACACUUAUUCAGUAUUUAAGUGAUAUUAAGUAUCUCAAUUUUCCAGGAAAAUUAUAAAGGGUUAGAAAAAAUAUAUAACUCCCCCUAAAGACCUGUUCUUGAGGAGUUUAUAUACUAAUAGAAGAUGAAAUUUAAAAGGAAACUGGAUGGAGAGAGAAGGCAAAAGGAAAGGUAGAAUUGCUAAGGAAAAAGAAACGUCAAUUGAAGAAUAAUUUGAGCUGAAAGUAAAGUAAGUCUUUCUAGGGCCCUUCAUGUAAAGGUAAUCCUGGCCAAGGACUUGCCUAUCCUAAGUAGGGACAUCUCCAAGGGAGGAAAGGUGUGGGUGGAAAAGUUUGGCAUGUUGAGUAACAGUUUCAAGCAAAUUUAUAACCACUCAAGUUCUUGGAACUAUGACUUAUACAAGUACUACAAGAAAAAAUGAAAACUCUAGUGAAUUGGCUUCCUCUUUAGUUUUAUUUUCAGUGUAAUGAGGUACCUGGCACAUAUGUAGACACAACUAAUUUGCUAAGAAGGUUCCAUCUACAUGAAAUAUACUAGUUAGAUAUUUGGGAAGACUAGAAGAAUGGAAAAUGCAUGAAUAUUCUCAGUUAGCCUACCACAAAAGGGAGGUUUACAUAGCUAGAACUGUCUAAAAUAGCCUGAAUUAGCACCAGCCAUAUCUUUCACAGUAUUUGUAUUCAGUGGAAGUGAUUCCCUCAACCACAGUAAGCAGCAAGUGGCAGGAGUCUGUUUAAUGAGGAAAUAUGAUUUAAAUGUCACCCAGUUCCCUUCCAACUCUAUAAAUGAUUCUAUAGACUUCUAAGAUACCUUCCAACUCUAAAAAUCUAUGACCAGCUUCGUUUUCACUCACACAAGGCCAGGAGUCUGUCUUCUGGGAAUUUAGCAUGCAAGACAAUACUGAAACAGAUUCCUACAGCUUUACUCUGAUGAGCACUAAAUAAAUACAAAGAUGAAAAAUCAUUGAUGUGCAUAUUUUAUAAAAUGGAGGAGUCUGCAUUUAUGAUGCUUCAAAGAGAGUAAAAUUAUAACAACUUCUUAUAUGAAAGGAAGAAAACUUGGCCUGGAAGAAGACUUCAAAAAUGAUAGGAGUAAAUAUUUUUGACUAAAAGUGGGGACUCUGGAUAAUUGAAUAAUAAUAGAUUUAGAGCUAGAAGAUCACCAAGUCCAACUCCAUUCAUUUUAUAGAUAAGGAAAUUGAGACAUAAGGAGAUAAUUGAUUUGCCCAGAGGCAUAUCUCUUAGGAUUUCUGUGAGAAGGGAUUUAAAUACAAAUCAUCCUAAUUCCAAGUCCAGUGCUCUUAUCACAACACCAUAGUGCUUUGCAACAAAAUGAAAUCAUAACCAGGUGGCAUGUAAUGCAAUGGAAAAAAAUUUGGUGAUAUCAUUUAGAUUCAAUCCCACAAUGAGUAAUCAAUGCAUGAGUAAAUUUGUAUUUUUUUAAAGCAUUUGAAAUUAAGUGACUUGGCCAGGAUCACACAGCUAAAAAGGAAGUGUAGUGUCUGAGACCAUAUUUGAACUCAAGUCCUCCUCACUUCAAGGCUGGUGCUCUAACCACUGCGCUAUCUAGCUGCCCUGUUAAUAGACAUUUAUUAAGAACCUAUUAUGUGCAUAUAAAAAACCCACUUUGAUAGAAGCUCUGCAUUCUAGUUGACCUGGUCAGUGAAGGGUUCCCCUUGAUGGAUGAAAUUGAAGUAUUCUACUAAAAAGUGUUGGUAUUGCCCAAAAUGAUAAGCAAAUGAUUCCCCAAAGACAAAUGAACCACUGAAUCUCCAUUGUCUCUAAUUUGAGUAUAUAAAUAGACAUCUAUUUCAAACAUUGUGUUAAAGGGUACCCUUUAAUGGUAGAUUAAUGUAUCAUUUAUUUACUCACAAAAGAAACUUUGGGGUGAUAUAGCACCUUAAUUUUCUCUAAAAAAUAGGCAUACUGAGUCAUUACCUUUGACUUCACUAGAUCCCUAAAAGAGGAUUUUAGAGAUAAUUAGGUGCUAUGCAUAGUCAGGUCAAACUACUCCCCAGAAUUAUGCAGAAAUGAGUAUCGUGUUACUAUAAUAAACAGUCAGCCUUGAGCCUCUUCCUACACAGUAUCAAAAAUGGUAUAAAACAUCUUUAGCCAUUCUAUUAGUUUUCUUUAAGCUACCAGUCAAUAUGCACAUUUUUUUAAUUUAAAGAUAUUACUUUCUCCUCACUGAUUCAAGCUUCACUCACCUGAAAGACAAUUUUGAUAUAUGUACCCAGAGCAUUUUCUGCCAUGGGUUUUCAUUGAUUAGGUAAUGUGGAAUCCUUGUCACAGGAAAGCAAGGUCCACACCUUAACAAAAUGAAGCGAGUCUCCAUUUCUCAUUACUCUCAGUCACCACAAUCACUAUUUCCUGCUCUAUAGAGGGUUAUAAUGCAUUAUUCAGAUUCAUCAGUCAGCAAUUUAUUACCUAAGUAUCACAUAAGAUUCUGAAGAGACAAGUACAAGAAUAACAUGAUUCAUAUUCUCAAGAAGACUCAAAUGAUGGAGAAAACAAGUAUAUAAUCUCAUUAUUUAUAUUUGUGUCUGUGUGUGUAUACACACACACACACACAUAUAUACAUACAUAUACAUAGAUAUGGAAAGAAAGAAGGACAGCUAAAUGGUCCAGUAAAUAGAGGGCCCAGGCUGGAGUCAGAAAGACCUAGUUCAAAUGUGGCCUCAGACAUUUCCUAAAUGCAUGACCUUGGCCAAGAGAGUUAACCAUUUGCCUUAGUAUCCUUAUUUAUAAAAUGAGCUGGAGAAAGAAAUGACAAAUCACUCCAAUAUCUUUGCCAGGAAAACCAUAUAAUUAGAUCACAAGUCAAAUAUGACUGAAAGGACUGAACAACUACAUACAUGUGUAACAUGUGCAUGCAUACACAUAUGUGUAUACCGUGCAUUGUCUAUAUACAUGUGCAUACACAUAUACGUAUAUCUCCUUAAUUGCUAGUUUAUCUAUAUAUAAAGAAAAAAUAAUUUGCUGUGGAGAAUUCUAAUAGCUGAAAAGCCAAGAAAGACUCCGUGAUGGUGCUAAAGGUGAAGAGAGCAUAUAUGAUUAGAGCAAAAGGACAGAGUUGAGAGAUGGAAUAUACAGUGUGAGGAAUGGAGAAAAAAAAACAGUUUGGCUGUACUUUGGUACAUAAAAUAAUGUCCAAUAAAUUUGAAAAGAUGGGCUGGAGUCAGUUUAUUUAGGACUUUACAAACUAAAGAGAAGAGUUUUUAUUUUAUCCUUGAGGCAGUACAAAGGCAGAAGACUUGAUUAAGUUUAGGAGUCACAUGGUCUGCACUUAAGGGAAAUUAUUUGUGUGUGUAGCACAAGUUGGAGUAGCAAUAUAUUUGAAGUAAGGUUAGGAAGCAGUUACAUUGUUCCAGAUAAGAGGUAAUGAAUGGCUACAUUAUGAUGUUGCUAUAUGAACAGAGAGGAAUUUGGUCUAUGAGUUGCUGUGGAAGUUGAAGUAGAAGGAUUUGGUAGCCAUUUGAAUUGUAGUGAAGAGUGAAGAAUCAAGAAUAAUGACAACCUGGGAGAUUGGAAGUAUAGCGAUUCCUUUGACAUUGUUAGGAAUAUAUUCUUGACACUAAAAAUCAGAUAUUGAGGAAAAUUUAUUGAAGAAGAAUCUUAAGGAAUAGUCUUAAUGUUUCUAGCCAGAAGCAAGCUGCUUCCUCUUCAGGAAGAAAGAGCCAAUUCUCUCAGAAUUGGGAGAACCUUUUAUACUUGCUAGUGUGGAGCAGCUCCUCCCUUCAAGGACUGGAUUGGUCUGUUUCUUCCAGGUUACAAUCUUUCUGAUAUGGCCACUAUAUGUUUCCCUUUAGUUGGUGUAGUGGAUGGAGCACCAGCACUGGAAUCUGGAGGAUGUCAGUUCAAAUUUAGUCUCAGACACUUAAUACUUCCUGGCUGUGUGAUCCUGGGCAAGUCACUUAACUGCAAAUGCCUCAGCAAAAAAAAAAAAAAAAAAAAAAGUAUAAAACAUCUUCCCCCUCAUCAUACAUCCAGAGCAGUAGUGAUUUGGUCAAGUCAGGUUAUUGACCUGAUGUCAUACAAUGACAUGCAAUAGAAUUAGAUUGAAGUGAGGAAGAAUUCUGCAAAGUCACCAGCCUCACUUUCUCAGAGUCUAGUGGCAAGUUGUAGAUCAGGACAAAUGGAGAUGGUCCUGCAUGCAUUGGAAGACUUUGACUUUUCUAAGCUAAAGUUUUUAAUAGGUCUCAGUUUGACAUAGGCAAUGCCAAAUCAGUGAUUAAGGUCAAGUAAGAAAUGAGGUAGAGAAUGGCCUCUUCUGCCUAGUCCAAAAAAAAAAAAUCAAUCUGGGAGGAAAACAGCCUCAGAGUUUCUGGCCAAAACAAAAACAAUUGCUGCUGACUCAGAAAAUCAAGAUUCAAAUAAUGAGUGAUUGAGGCUUGGCCUGGGAUCUAUUCUGAGGAAAUAGAAGGGCUUUUGGGGGAGAGGGAAAGAGUGACAAAGCUUCUCUAUGACCCAAAGAUCAGACCUGCCUCCAAGGGGUGUUGUCAUUUCUCAGGCAUUUAUUUAAGAGGUUCAGGGAAGUGUCAUGGCAAGUCAUGUUAUAUAGACUGAUUCUAGCUGAAGAAGAUGGAUUAUACCUUAGAGGUCUGCAUAGUUUUUUAGCUCUGUUUCUCAAAAUGAGAAGAAUUAGAAAAGGAAUGUUUUUUCUGAACUCAGCUAAUACUCUUACUAGCAAGAAAGUCUCUGGUACUAAUUUUCUCUUAUAGACAUGGCUCUCCUAUUUUUUUAUACAGAUGUAGUGCUCCUACUUUUCUAUUCAUAUGUAUCACCAACACCGACAUAUAACAAACACCUUCUUACCUCUCUGUCUUUGCUUACACUAUUCUCUUUUACUACAAUUCUCUCUCCUGUUGAAUAUCUACUUUCUUUAAAAUCUGCUUCAUUUUGUAAAUUAUGCCCCCUUAAACUUUUUUUGGGGGCUGAUGUAAACUGUGUCACCUUUGGGGGAAGGUUAACUCAAAACCCUCCCAGCACCCUUCCCAGACCACUCUCAUAUAAUUUCAUUCACUAGGAAAUUUCGACCAGGGCAUAAUCAACAUCUUCUUUUAAGUGGCUCAAACUACUCCCCAGCCCCAAGCCAAGACUGAACCCCAUAUAAGCAAGGGUUUGCUAACCCUUCUUUGCUAAUUCCUAAUCAGGAAGGCCUGCCCUUCUGGACUUAGCCUACAGAUGAAGAUAUUUUCUUCUCAGUGUAAACCCAUUUUUGCAAUAGUCUUAACAGGACCUUGCCCACUAAGAAAGCUGUCUUCUUAGCUACUGUUUUCUUAGUGUAAAUAAAUUCCCCUGUGCC